rnacentral:rRNA from 1 species
AACGAACGCUGGCGGCAGGCCUAACACAUGCAAGUCGAGCGCGCCCUUCGGGGUGAGCGGCGGACGGGUGAGUAACGCGUGGGAACGUGCCCUUCUCUGCGGAAUAGCCUCGGGAAACUGAGAGUAAUACCGCAUACGCCCUUUGGGGGAAAGAUUUAUCGGAGAAGGAUCGGCCCGCGUUGGAUUAGGUAGUUGGUGGGGUAAUGGCUCACCAAGCCGACGAUCCAUAGCUGGUUUGAGAGGAUGAUCAGCCACACUGGGACUGAGACACGGCCCAGACUCCUACGGGAGGCAGCAGUGGGGAAUCUUAGACAAUGGGGGCAACCCUGAUCUAGCCAUGCCGCGUGAGUGAUGAAGGCCUUAGGGUUGUAAAGCUCUUUCAGCUGGGAAGAUAAUGACGGUACCAGCAGAAGAAGCCCCGGCUAACUCCGUGCCAGCCGCCGCCGUAA